rnacentral:rRNA from 1 species
AACGCUGGCGGCGCGCUUAACACAUGCAAGUCGAGCGAGAUCCAGGCCUUCGGGCCUGGGGACAGCGGCGAACGGGUGAGUAACACGUGGGUAAUCAACCCUCGACACUGGGAUAGCCCGGGGAAACCCGGAUUAAUACCGGAUGGCCCUUUGGAUCUUCGGAUCUGACGGGAAAGGUAGCUUCGGCCUCCGGUCGAGGACGAGCCCGCGGCGGAUUAGCUUGUUGGUGGGGUAACGGCUAACCAAGGCGACGAUCCGUAGCUGGUCUGAGAGGACGAUCAGCCACACUGGGACUGAGACACGGCCCAGACUCCUACGGGAGGCAGCAGUGGGGAAUCUUGCGCUAAUGCGGGCAACCGUGACGCAGCGACGCCGCGUGAGGGAAGAAGGCCUUCGGGUUGUAAACCUCUUUCAGGAGGGACGAAGCCACUCGGGUGAAUAGCCCAGAGGGUGACGGUACCCCCAGAAGAAGCCCCGGCUAACUACGUGCCAGCCGCCGCCGUAACAC